rnacentral:rRNA from 1 species
CUACGUGCCAGCAGCCGCGGUAAUACGUAGGGCGCGAGCGUUGUCCGGAAUUAUUGGGCGUAAAGAGCUUGUAGGCGGUUUGUCGCGUCUGCUGUGAAAGGCCGGGGCUUAACUCCGUGUAUUGCAGUGGGUACGGGCAGACUAGAGUGCAGUAGGGGAGACUGGAAUUCCUGGUGUAGCGGUGGAAUGCGCAGAUAUCAGGAGGAACACCGAUGGCGAAGGCAGGUCUCUGGGCUGUAACUGACGCUGAGAAGCGAAAGCAUGGGGAGCGAACAGGAUUAGAUACCCUGGUAGUCCACGCCGUAAACGAUGAUUACUAGGUGUUGGGGGUCGAACCUCAGCGCCCAAGCUAACGCGAUAAGUAAUCCGCCUGGGGAGUACGUACGCAAGUAUGAAACUCAAAGGAAUUGACGGGGACCCGCACAAGCGGUGGAGCAUGUGGUUUAAUUCGACGCAACGCGAGGAACCUUACCAGCGUUUGACAUC